UACGUAGGGUGCAAGCGUUAAUCGGAAUUACUGGGCGUAAAGCGUGCGCAGGCGGUUAUGUAAGACAGAUGUGAAAUGCCCGGGCUCAACCUGGGAACUGCAUUUGUGACUGCAUGGCUAGAGUGUGUCAGAGGGGGUAGAAUUCCACGUGUAGCAGUGAAAUGCGUAGAGAUGUGGAGGAAUACCGAUGGCGAAGGCAGCCCCCUGGGAUAACACUGACGCUCAUGCACGAAAGCGUGGGGAGCAAACAGG
rnacentral:rRNA from 1 species